rnacentral:lncRNA from 1 species
AAGAAAGCCAUUUUGUGACCAGGUCCAGUCUGAAUCAGUAUUUUCUCCAGCUGUUCACUCCACGGUCCAUUUUCUCCACGCACAAUUUAACUCAUAUUGAGCUCCAUUAGUCUCUCCCUACAUGGUUAGUAACAUGCCCGUUUUCAGUUCAUUGAUACCUAUGUCUGUGGCUGUCCCUAGUUUGGUGUGUUAUGUAUAUGUAAUACUGCACCCUUUGCAAAGCUGAAUAACUGCUUGGUAGGAGGGACAUAAAUAAGGUGAGCUCUAAAGUUGAAUUGGGAGCAGGAAUCUUGCCUCUGUGUCUUCAGAUGGUGUUUUGAAGUCUGUACCUGCCUGUAUGAAAGUAAAGCAAGUCUGUAGUCACAGAAGAAAGUAAAUAAAGGGGAGGGAUGCAGUGUGAUUAUCUAGAUUUUAAAAGGAAAAAAAAAAAAAAGGCAAGACCAAAUCAUUGUUUUCUAACAGAAGUAUAGAUACAAAGAGCCAGACCAGCCAAGGGUGUGGAAGAGGACAGUGACUGGUAAGAGAUUAAAAGAGCUGGGAAGAAGGGAGCAGAUUAAGGAUUCGGCAGACAGGAGAAUGACAGACACUUCUUGAACUGAAGGUGGAAGCAAAGGUGUGUUGCUGGCUGGGGAUUUCAGGAACUACAUUGGUACAGACUAAAGGUAACUCCAUACCAGAAAGAGAGAGCAUCCUCAGCUUACCCUGUCAAAGCAUUGCAACAAGCAAUUGGACAAAUUCCCUUGGUUUACACCUGGUGAAGUAGAAGAGAUUGGCAAGGUGAAGUAGAAGAGAUGGGGCAAAAGGCCUGGUCUGCGGGAGAUGGACAGAAUAACGGGGUGUUGUGCUCUCCUCCUGGUUCCUGCUUGGGCAGUGCACAUUUGGACAGGCAAUCACACCAGCAGAUUCCCAAAAGGAUCAGUAUUGAAAGCAGGACUUCAGAUGAAUUCAUGUGCAAUCAAGGUCAAAGCUAAAGUUUGGUGACACAAGCUUCUUUUGGUCCCUUUGUAGCCUGGCUGUCAGUUACGGGAGACAUUACGAGUAUGCAGCUUCACGUCUCCCUGUGAAUAUUGCUAAUCAUUUACUAGUAUCUGAGGCAUGUACUGGUACAAAAGAGGUGUACCCUAGCUCCUGUGCUCUUCUCCUCAGUUAAUUACCAUACAAACAGGGAGCUGGCAUACUUGGAAGGACUAUUGACUAUGCAAGUAAUUAGCUGCAGUAAAUAUAGGAGAGAAGACAGCUAGCAGGUUUUUAGAUGUUACUUGCUGCUAAGGAAAACUGUUUUCUUUGUUACUGUCUUUUGUGUGAAGGCCAGGAGCUUACCAACUCAGGUUCGAACUCCUCAGAGGCUGCAGGGCAAUGGAGUGUGCAUGUAAUUAUUU